GACACUUAGAAGAAACAAACUCUGAGAUAAAAGGUGUCGUGAAACUGGCAAUAAUUCCAAGCCACCUCUUCCUUUGAAGGAAACUCCACUCCCACCCCCUCGCUCCCAACCCGAUGCUAGUCCCAUUAAGUAUUGACCUCUGAUUGUGUGCUUGUGCUAAAGGAAGUGUUUGUUUCAAAACUGCAGCAGACUUGAGAAUGAGAUAGUGUCUAGAAACAUCUGUUUUUGUUCAGCGCUACAUCCGCCUGCAUCCAGUUCCUCCAAGAAGUUAAAGGUGCUGAGUUCCUUGAUAUGCUGGAUCUCUUCUAGAAGUGGGUUCUACAGUCAUGCUCCGCCCCAUCCCACUGACCAAGCAAACAUAGGACUUAUUAAUUUCCUCCCGGAGGAUGCACUGGACUUAUCCUUGCCCCUGCUUGAGCAACUAAGCAUGAUGCUUUUUGACUGGGAUAUCUUUUUCCAGUUCUGCUCAGUGUAAUCACAUUAUUGCUGAAAAUGUCACCCUGGCCAAUUGCUAAAGGCAUUUUUGAAGCAGGAGAGAAAUCGCUUUAAAAAGACCAACACUGGAAGAACUGGACUGUGGUAGAAGCAAAGCAAUAAAUUUGAUCCUCCCACACUUGGCAUGGUAGCUGAAGCAGACUGACCAAACACUGAGUGGCCAGAUGAUGCGAACACCUUUUCACCUCUAUGUGAUUCCUCCAGGCUAGGAGUCACCAUGAUCCACAGCUGAAACAGAUGGAAAAAUAUCCCCUGCUAACAGUUUGAGAUUUUCAGAAAAGCACAUAAGAGAUGAACCAAGGCAGAGGAUUGGGCCACUGGGAAGCAGACCAAGAUUCAUGUUCAGCUGCAGAAACUGGUUUGGUGCUCAUCUCCAGUGAUUGUCAUUUUUCCCUACGAUCUCAUGAAGGCUUGAUACAACUCAUUAGAAGCUCAUCAGUGCUACUCGUAUGGGGCCUGUGGCCAGCCUAAUAAUAACAAUCUUCCCCAUGUGAAGGACUAAGCAAACUGCUUUCUCCAUUGUUCCCCCUCCUGGCUGCCAAAACUGGAGUUUCUUCUAUGGAUUUCAACAGGGGGUUUGUAUUGUGUUUUUUUUAAUUAAAAAAAUGUGUUGGGUUUUUUUUGCAGCGCUGACCUAUUAAGCAGAAAAAUAAAUACCAUGGACCAGCCCUCCACCCUUGCCUUGUCCCUUAUGCACUGCUCCAGAAAGCUUAAACUGUUAGCUGGGGAUUUUCCUAACAUGGGGAAAUAUCUUAGUAACGUAUAGCUGGCUUUAUGCCACUUGUUCCUGGGUCAUGCCAUCCCCAGCACAGAGGACUUUCAGGAA